GUGCCAGCAGCCGCGGUAAUACGUAGGUCCCGAGCGUUGUCCGGAUUUAUUGGGCGUAAAGCGAGCGCAGGCGGUUUGAUAAGUCUGAAGUUAAAGGCUGUGGCUCAACCAUAGUUCGCUUUGGAAACUGUCAAACUUGAGUGCAGAAGGGGAGAGUGGAAUUCCAUGUGUAGCGGUGAAAUGCGUAGAUAUAUGGAGGAACACCGGUGGCGAAAGCGGCUCUCUGGUCUGUAACUGACGCUGAGGCUCUACAGCGUGGGGAGCGAACAGGAUUAGAUAC
rnacentral:rRNA from 1 species